UGCCUUAGUAACGGCGAGUGAAGCGGCAAUAGCUCAAAUUUGAAAUCUGGCGCUUGCGUCCGAGUUGUAAUUUGUAGAGGAUGAUUUUGGUUAGGUACCUUUCGAGUUCCUUGGAACAGGACGCCUUAGAGGGUGAGAGCCCCGUACGAUUGGAUGCCGAGCCUCUGUAAAUCUCCUUCGACGAGUCGAGUAGUUUGGGAAUGCUGCUCUAAAUGGGAGGUAAAUUUCUUCUAAAGCUAAAUACCGGCCAGAGACCGAUAGCGCACAAGUAGAGUGAUCGAAAGAUGAAAAGCACUUUGAAAAGAGGGUUAAAUAGCACGUGAAAUUGUUGAAAGGGAAGGAUUUAUGACCAGACUUUUUCUAGGAGAAUCAUCCGGUGUUCUCACCGGUGCACUUCUUUUAGUUUAGGCCAGCAUCGACUUUCGGCGGUGGAUAAAAGCUUUAGGAAUGUGGCUUCUCUCGGGAAGUGUUAUAGCCUAUUGUAUAAUACACUGCUGGGGGUCGAGGUACGCGCUUCUGCAAGGAUGCUGGCGUAAUGGUUAUCAAUCACCCGUCUUGAAACACGGACCAAGGAGUCGAACAUUUGUGCGAGUGUUUGGGUGUUAAACCCUCACGCGUAAUGAAAGUGAACGGAGGUGAGAGCCCUUACGGGUGCAUCAUCGACCGAUCCUGAUGUUUUCGGAUGGAUUUGAGUAAGAGCAUAAAUGUUCGGACCCGAAAGAUGGUGAACUAUGCGUGGAUAGGGUGAAGCCAGAGGAAACUCUGGUGGAGGCUCGCAGCGGUUCUGACGUGCAAAUCGAUC
rnacentral:rRNA from 1 species